GACGAACGCUGGCGGCGUGCUUAACGCAUGCAAGUCGAACGGAAAGGCCCUGCUUUUGUGGGGUGCUCGAGUGGCGAACGGGUGAGUAACACGUGAGUAACCUGCCCUUGACUUUGGGAUAACUUCAGGAAACUGGGGCUAAUACCGGAUAGGAGCUCCUGCUGCAUGGUGGGGGUUGGAAAGUUUCGGCGGUUGGGGAUGGACUGGCGGCUUAUCAGCUUGUUGGUGGGGUAGUGGCUUACCAAGGCUUUGACGGGUAGCCGGCCUGAGAGGGUGACCGGGCACAUUGGGACUGAGAUACGGCCCAGACGCCUACGGGAGGCAGCAGUGGGGAAUAUUGCACAAUGGGCGGAAGCCUGAUGCAGCAACGCCGCGUGCGGGAUGACGGCCUUCGGGUUGUAAACCGCUUUCGCCUGUGACGAAGCGGGAGUGACGGUAAUGGGUAAAGAAGCACCGGCUAACUACGUG
rnacentral:rRNA from 1 species